UGUACGACAGCGGAACAUUUUCUCCCACAGUGUUGUCGUACAGGGAGACCACCUUGGACACCUAACGCUGACUUCGUCCGCCUGAUUGGUGGAUCGUGAGGGGGCGGUUGCUAGUGGCUGCCUGAGAGUUGAGGGUGAGGGCACAAUUUCCUCCAUAAACAGUGAAACGGAAGGAAGCGAACUGUGCCGAGGAGCAGUUGAGCCAGUGAGACGCCGGUAAAGGCGGAAGUGGUUGGAGACAUGAGCGGCAUAUUUAAAAACAAGAUAUUCAUGGUUAAAACUUUGGUUUAUAACGAUCAGAGACAUCUGACAGAUGAAUUUCCCUCUAAGUCACGUUUGUCAACUGGAGGUCGGAUGCGUGGAAAGACUGCGAAGAUGGGGAAACCUAAAGAUCUGAAGAAAGCUGCGGCGGGCAGGCGCAACUGUGUUGUGAAUGAGUCGGAGUGGGGAGAGUCGGACCUAAUUGAUGGCGAUGACAGUAUGGAGUUGAGCCAAUGAAGCGAGAGAAUGAGGGAGAAAAGAGGAAAAGAUUUUGGAGGGGCCAGACCAAAGAAAAUCAAGGGUAGUGGAGAUCAUGGGGGAGGAAUAGAGAAGAGAACUCAGGAGGAGGUGGAAUUUAAAAUCAUUUUGAGAUUCGGCUUGGAGCGGGGAAUUUCUUCAAUGAAUCCGGUUAAAUUGACAACUGUUUUGAGGAACCAGAUAGGAGAUGUACAUAUGGCUAAGGUGUUGAAUGAUGGUAAUUUGUUGAUUAUUUGUAGAAAUGAGGAGCAUAGAGAGUGGGCUGAGAGGACGAAAGAGAUAGGGCGAUUUAUAGUGAUAAAUACAAGCCGUAUUGAAAGAGGAAAUACGUGGAGUAAGGGAUUGAUUUGGGGGGUACCAGUCGGGGUCACUAUGGAGGAAAUUAAAUCAAACCUGAAAGGAGGAAUUAUAAAAGAUGCCCGUCGGUUGCAGGUAACUCAAGAGGGAGUGUGGAAAGAUAGUGAGCAAAUUGUGAUUGAGUUUGGGGAGGAAGUGCUCCCGCAGAAGGUGACUCUAGGAUUUAUUGAGUUACAGUGUUAGAGAGUAUGUACCAAAAACCAAUGAGGUGUUACAACUUUCAAAGGUUUGGUCAUGCAGCUAAGACAUGUAAGGGCAAGAGAAGAUGUGCCAGAUGUGGAGAGGAUCAUGAGUACGGGCAAUGUAAUCAGGUGCAACCAAGAUGUUGCAACUGUGGUGGAAAUCACAGUGUGGCUUAUGGGGGAUGUGAGGUAAUGAAAAGAGAAAUGGAAAUACAGCAGGUAUGAGUUCAGAGUAAGCUAACGUAUGCAGAGGCUGUGAAGAUGGUGAGUCAGGGGGGAGGAGUGGACGAGAGGAGAAGACUAGGAAAACAACCCACAACAGAACCAGUCCAGACAAAUGAGGGUCAACCUAAAGAAGCUCGUCAUUUUCAUUGCAGGGGUAGUGAACGCUACAAUGGAGCUCCUCCCAGCCCUCCAUGCCCGUGCACGCUACCAUGGCAACCGAAGCCAGGCAAGAGCUUUGAGACUGGUACACCGGACUCAGAUGAGGAAGUGAAACCGGCUGCUUCGACGAGCAGUCGAGCGAGGAGGAGAGGGAGUCGCAUACGAGCAGGCGCACCGGGCAGCGGCCGUGGGAGACGGGGCAGAGGUCGGAGUGUUGGCCCGACACCGAGCACCUGGGAGCCGAAGACACGAUCUUCAUGUGAUGAGCCAGUUGGUCCCUGCCACUUGCACUGGUUUCAUCCCAAGAUGGUUUAGCUUCAGACUGUGCUAUAUGUAAAUACUGUGUUGU